rnacentral:rRNA from 1 species
UACGUAGGGAGCAAGCGUUGUCCGGAAUUACUGGGCGUAAAGGGUGCGUAGGCGGCGCAGUUAGUCAGAAGUGAAAUAUCGGGGCUUAACCCCGGGGCUGCUUCUGAUACUGCUGUGCUCGAGUGCAGGAGAGGUAAGUGGAAUUCCUAGUGUAGCGGUGAAAUGCGUAGAUAUUAGGAGGAACACCAGUGGCGAAGGCGGCUCUCUGGUCUGCAACUGACGCUGAGGCUCGAAAGCAUGGGUAGCGAACAGG